AAUAUGAUUAUUUAAUAUGCGUUCGAAAAGCUCAUAUAAAAAAAAAGAAAAUACGAUUCAUUUAAUUUAAGUAUUGGAAGUUAAUAUAUUACUUCAUGUUGAUGAGCAAAACCAGGACUUCUAAGUCUACAUCGAUAUGGUUUAGAGCUACCAUCACUAACAAGAUAAACUCCAAAUUCACCCUUUGGUGCUUCAAUGGAUGUGUAUGUAGCACCCGGUGGUACUUGAAAACCUUGUGAAAAUAAUUUGAAGUGAUGGAUAAGUGCUUCCAUACUGGUUUUCAUUUCUUUCUUGCUUGGCGGUACAAUUUUGACAUCAUCACAUUUCACUUCACCGCAUGGAAUUUGAUUUAGACAUUGAUAAAUUAUUCUAAGUGAUUGACGCAUUUCCGUAAUGCGUAUGAGAUAUCUAUAUUCCAAUAAACAUAAUUUAAUAAAUACAAAUACUCUUAU